GAUCAUGGCUCAGGAUGAACGCUAGCGGCAGGCUUAACACAUGCAAGUCGAGGGGCAGCGCGGGAUAGCAAUAUCCUGGCGGCGACCGGCGGAAGGGUGCGUAACGCGUGAGCGACAUGCCCGUUGCCAGGGGACAACCGGUGGAAACGCCGACUAAUCCCCGAUGGGAUAUUGUGCCGCAUGGCACGAUAUCGAAAGUUACGGCGGCGACGGAUUGGCUCGCGUCCGAUUAG
rnacentral:rRNA from 1 species